rnacentral:rRNA from 1 species
AUGGACGAAAGUCUGAUGGAGCAACGCUCGCGUGAGUGAAGAAGGGUUUCGGCUCGUAAAACUCUGUUGUUAAAGAAGAACAUAUCUGAGAGUAACUGUUCAGGUAUUGACGGUAUUUAACCAGAAAGCCACGGCUAACUACGUGCCAGCAGCCGCGGUAAUACGUAGGUGGCAAGCGUUGUCCGGAUUUAUUGGGCGUAAAGCGAGCGCAGGCGGCUUUUUUAAGUCUGAUGUGAAAGCCCUCGGCUUAACCGAGGAAGUGCAUCGGAAACUGGGAAACUUGAGUGCAGAAGAGGACAGUGGAACUCCAUGUGUAGCGGUGAAAUGCGUAGAUAUAUGGAAGAACACCAGUGGCGAAGGCGGCUGUCUGGUCUGUAACUGACGCUGAGGCUCGAAAGCAUGGGUAGCGAACAGGAUUAGAUACCCUGGUAGUCCAUGCCGUAAACGAUGAAUGCUAGGUGUUGGAGGGUUUCCGCCCUUCAGUGCCGCAGCUAACGCAUUAAGCAUUCCGCCUGGGGAGUACGACCGCAAGGUUGAAACUCAAAGGAAUUGACCGGGGCCCGCACAAGCGGUGGAGCAUGUGGUUUAAUUCGAAGCAACGCGAAGAACCUUACCUGGUCUUGACAUCUUUUGAUCACCUGAGAGAUCAGGUUUCCCCUUCGGG